rnacentral:misc_RNA from 1 species
UAAAAAGAGGCCACUCCUUUAGUACGCUCUCUCACUUUCCUACUUUUCGCUUCCCCCAAUGGAUUCUCUCACUCUCAUUUGUACCGUCGCUCUUGUCGCCGCCGGCGGACUUUACUGGUUCGUUUGCUUUUUUGGCUCCGCCGAGGUUAAGGGUAAACGGGCUGUCCAACUUACCGGAGGAUCCAUCGAUAAAGAGAAUGUCCAAGACAACUAUAAACAGUACUGGUCUUUCUUCCGACGGCCUAAGGAAAUCGAAACCGCCGAUAAAGUCCCUGUUUUCGUAGAUACUUUCUAUAAUCUGGUUACUGAUAUUUACGAAUGGGGUUGGGGUCAGUCUUUUCACUUUUCCCCUUCUCUUCCUGGUAAAUCUAACCGUGAGGCUACUCGUAUUCACGAGGAAAUGGCCGUCGAUCUAUUAGGUGUGAAGCCCGGGGCCCGCAUUCUGGAUGCUGGUUGUGGUGUGGGCGGGCCGAUGCGGGCUAUUGCUGCCCAUUCUAAAGCUAAUGUGGUUGGUAUCACCAUUAAUGAGUAUCAGGUUAAACGAGCCAGGAUGCACAACAAAAAAGCAGGGCUUGAUUCACUUUGCGAAGUUGUUUGCGGGAAUUUCCUGCAAAUGCCUUUUGCAGACAACAGUUUUGACGGUGUUUAUUCGAUUGAAGCUACAUGUCAUGCUCCUAAGCUUGAAGAAGUGUACCAGGAGAUCUACCGGGUGUUAAAACCCGGAUCCCUGUACGUUUCUUAUGAAUGGGUUACCACGGAAUUGUACAAAGCCGAAGACCCUGAACAUGUAGAGAUUAUCCAUGGAAUUGAAAGGGGUGAUGCUCUGCCAGGUUUGAGAACGUACAAGGAUAUUGCUGAAAUUGCUAAGAAAGUGGGUUUUGAAGUGGUGAAAGAGAAGGAUUUAGCAAAGCCCCCAUCACAUCCAUGGUGGACAAGGCUUAAAAUGGGGAGAGUUGCCUACUGGAGAAACCACAUUUUGGUCACAAUUCUUGCAUUUCUUGGAAUAGCACCAAAAGGAACGGUUGAUGUUCACGAGAUGCUGUUUGUGACUGCUGAUUAUUUAGCUCAAGG